CUACGGGUGGCAGCAGUGGGGAAUAUUGCACAAUGGGCGCAAGCCUGAUGCAGCCAUGCCGCGUGUGUGAAGAAGGCCUUCGGGUUGUAAAGCACUUUCAGCGGGGAGGAAGGCGUUAAGGUUAAUAACCUUGGCGAUUGACGUUACCCGCAGAAGAAGCACCGGCUAACUCCGUGCCAGCAGCCGCGGUAAUACGGAGGGUGCAAGCGUUAAUCGGAAUUACUGGGCGUAAAGCGCACGCAGGCGGUCUGUCAAGUCUGAUGUGAAAUCCCCGGGCUCAACCUGGGAACUGCAUUCGAAACUGGCAGGCUAGAGUCUUGUAGAGGGGGGUAGAAGUCCAGGUGUAGCGGUGAAAUGCGUAGAGAUCUGGAGGAAUACCGGUGGCGAAGGCGGCCCCCUGGACAAAGACUGACGCUCAGGUGCGAAAGCGUGGGGAGCAAACAGGAUUAGAUACCCUAGUAGUC
rnacentral:rRNA from 1 species